CAGUCGCCGCGGGAAUACGUAGGGUGCAAGCGUUAAUCGGAAUUACUGGGCGUAAAGCGUGCGCAGGCGGUUUUGUAAGACAGAGGUGAAAUCCCCGGGCUCAACCUGGGAACUGCCUUUGUGACUGCAAGGCUGGAGUGCGGCAGAGGGGGAUGGAAUUCCGCGUGUAGCAGUGAAAUGCGUAGAUAUGCGGAGGAACACCGAUGGCGAAGGCAAUCCCCUGGGCCUGCACUGACGCUCAUGCACGAAAGCGUGGGGAGCAAACAGGAUUAGAUACCCGCGUAGUCCCUGUCUCUUAUAC
rnacentral:rRNA from 1 species